rnacentral:rRNA from 1 species
UACGAAGGGGGCUAGCGUUGUUCGGAAUUACUGGGCGGUAAAGCGCGCGUAGGCGGACUAUUAAGGUCAAGGGGUGAAAUCCCGGGGCUCAACCCCGGAACUGCCCUUUGAUACUGGUAGUCUCGAGUCCGGAAGAGGUGAGUGGAAUUCCGAGUGUAGAGGUGAAAUUCGUAGAUAUUCGGAGGAACACCAGUGGCGAAGGCGGCUAC